rnacentral:rRNA from 1 species
UACGUAGGGGGCAAGCGUUGUCCGGAUUCAUUGGGCGUAAAGAGCGUGUAGGCGGCCAGGUAGGUCGGUUGUGAAAACUGGAGGCUCAACCUUCAGAGGUCGACCGAAACCAUCUGGCUAGAGUCCGGGAGAGGAGAGUGGAAUUCCCGGUGUAGUGGUGGAAUGCGUAGAUAUCGGGAGGAACACCAGUGGCGAAGGCGGUUGCCUGGAGCUUUGCUGACGCUGAGGCGCGAAAGCGUGGGGAGCGAUCCGG